rnacentral:rRNA from 1 species
UACGGAGGAUGCGAGCGUUAUCCGGAUUUAUUGGGUUUAAAGGGUGCGUAGGCGGUUUUUUAAGUUAGUGGUUAAACGUCGGGGCUUCACCUUGAUUUGCCAUUAAUACUGUAAGACUCGAGUUCAGACGAGGUAGGCGGAAUAAGUUAAGUAGCGGUGAAAUGCUUAGAUAUAACUUAGAACUCCGAUAGCGAAGGCAGCUUACUAAGCCAUAACUGACACUGAAGCACGAAAGCGUGGGGAUCAAACAGG